GACGUAGGGCGCAAGCGUUGUCCGGAUUUAUUGGGCGUAAAGAGCUCGUAGGCGGUUCGGUAAGUCAGGUGUGAAAUCUCCACGCUCAACGUGGAGGCGCCACCUGAAACUGCCGUGACUAGAGUCCGGUAGGGGAGUGUGGAAUUCCUGGUGUAGCGGUGGAAUGCGCAGAUAUCAGGAGGAACACCGGUGGCGAAGGCGGGUCUCUGGGCAGUAACUGACGCUGAGGAGCGAAAGCGUGGGGAGCGAACAGG
rnacentral:rRNA from 1 species